UACAGAGGGGGGCAAGCGUUGUUCGGAAUUACUGGGCGUAAAGGGCGCGUAGGCGGCCUGUUAAGUCGAACGUGAAAUCCCCAGGCUCAACCUGGGAACUGCGUCCGAUACUGGCAGGCUUGAAUCCGGGAGAGGGAUGCGGAAUUCCAGGUGUAGCGGUGAAAUGCGUAGAUAUUGGGAGGAACACCAGUGGCGAAGGCGGUCCCCUGGGCCGGAACGUGACGCUGAGGCGCGAAAGCGUGGGUAGCAAACGGG
rnacentral:rRNA from 1 species